UACGUAGGGUGCAAGCGUUAUCCGGAAUUAUUGGGCGUAAAGAGCUCGUAGGCGGUUUGUCGCGUCUGCCGUGAAAAUCCGGGGCUCAACCCCGGACUUGCGGUGGGUACGGGCAGACUAGAGUGUGGUAGGGGAGACUGGAAUUCCUGGUGUAGCGGUGAAAUGCGCAGAUAUCAGGAGGAACACCGAUGGCGAAGGCAGGUCUCUGGGCCACUACUGACGCUGAGCAGCGAAAGCGUGGGGAGCGAACAGG
rnacentral:rRNA from 1 species